rnacentral:piRNA from 1 species
UGCAGUGCUCAGCAGAGGCGCGAAUGCAAGC